rnacentral:rRNA from 1 species
UACGUAGGGCGCAAGCGUUGUCCGGAAUUAUUGGGCGUAAAGAGCUCGUAGGCGGUUUGUCGCGUCUGCUGUGAAAACCUAAGGCUCAACCUUGGGCUUGCAGUGGGUACGGGCAGACUAGAGUGCGGUAGGGGUGACUGGAAUUCCUGGUGUAGCGGUGGAAUGCGCAGAUAUCAGGAGGAACACCGAUGGCGAAGGCAGGUCACUGGGCCGCAACUGACGCUGGAGGAGCGAAAGCCUAGGGGAGCGAACGGG